GAUGAACGCUGGCGGCGUGCCUAACACAUGCAAGUCGAACGGAGUCCAGCCUUUAAGACCUUCGGGUCAAAGAGGGGAAGACUGAGUGGCGGACGGGUGAGUAACACGUGGGCAACCUGGCUCAUAGAGGGGGAUAACAGAGAGAAAUUUCUGCUAAUACCGCAUAAGCACACACUGCCGCAUGGCAGAGGGUGAAAAGAGAAUCGCUAUGAGAUGGACCCGCGUCUGAUUAGCCAGUUGGCAGGGUAAGAGCCUACCAAAGCGACGAUCAGUAGCCGAUCUGAGAGGAUGAACGGCCACAUUGGGACUGAGACACGGCCCAAACUCCUACGGGAGGCGGCAGUGGGGGAUAUUGCACAAUGGGGGGAACCCUGAUGCAGCGACGCCGCGUGAGUGAAGAAGUAUUUCGGUAUGUAAAGCUCUAUCAGCAGGGAAGAUAAUGACAGUACCUGAAUAAGAAGCCCCGGCUAACUACGUG
rnacentral:rRNA from 1 species